rnacentral:lncRNA from 1 species
AGAUAGACAGAUGUGUAGUUUUAGGCCAUUAGGUUUUGGGAUAAUUGGUUAAGCAACAAUAAAUAACCAAAACAAAACUUAAAGUUAUGACAGUCCAAAUAAAAUUUCCUGAAAGUCGAAAGAUAAGAAAAUAUUCCAGAACUGAAAAUUUAAAAAACAUUUAGAAAUAACGUGAGAUAUAAGACUCAAGACAAGAGGUCUAAAAUCCAAUUAACAGACACUUCCAAAUGAACAAAUAAAAUGGAAAAGAGAAAGUUAACAACAAAAAUAUGACAAGAUUCAAGACUCCAACUUUGAAAGAGCCUAUCCAUAGGCCUGUUCAUUUGGUGUACCCAGCAUAAUGAAUGAAAAAAGACCCACACUAAGUACACUGUUGUGCUAUUUCAGCUCACCAAGGAAAAGACAAACUCCUAAAAGCUUCCAGGGAGAAAGUCAUGCAUAAACAAGUGAAACUCAGGAUGGCAUGAGGCUUCGCCACCACGACUGGUUAGAAGACAACAGCACAGACUUUGAAAUUCUAAGAUCAUCUUUGUAACAAGAAGAAAACCAACCAAAUGAAAAUGAAAUGAAUUCUCUCAAAAAGAAUUAAGUCAAGACAGGAAGAAGGCUCGCAAAGUAAUAUAAAAUAUAUCUUAUGGUUUAUGUAAAAUUCUUAAUAAAAUACCUUCUUUGCUCCAAGCUGCACUCUGGCUUUGCCUUUGGGUCAGGUGGCAUUUCUUUGCACGAUGACUGGUUUUAUUGAGUAGGCACUGCUUCAGCCCUACAGGAAGAACAAAACCUCUCUGGAACACAGCAGCAUUCCUGACUCCCACUUGAGGAGGCCUAACAAAACGGCAUAUGCCUCAACAGCAGCAGAUCAGUGUUAAAAAGUCUGGAGUCAAGGGGAAAAAGUAAAAUUGGACCAUUUCCAAAAUCUCACAAAAAGCAACAAACUGACGUUCUAAGUGCCCAACAUGAGCAAAUUAGAACCUUAAAUAAAGGUCACUCUUAAUGCCUAUCCCAGCAUAGAUGCAGCACCAAGUACAGUGUCAUUUUACUGGUUUACCUUUUUCAUUCUUGAAAGUAGGAGCUAUGAAAAAAAAACACUAAAAUUUCUCUAAGAGAACCUUCUACUUUCUGUCUAACUUACAUAAUCAAAACACUCUAUUGAGGGUGAAAAUUGAAUAUUAUAAGAAAAUAAUCACGUGUUUUGCGAGAAGUUGCAAAUAUAAUGCUCCUCCACCCAAUACCUACCUUAAAAAGAAAAAAGGAAACAUACAAAAUUAUCUCGAGAAUUAUUCCUGCUUAAACAAUGUCUACGUGCCAUUACUAAGAAAGUAUGCACACAGUAAAGAUGAGAAGAGAACAUGCAAGCGUGAACAUACUUGUUAGGGAUAUAGGACUAUGGGUAAUUUAAACAUUUUAAUGGUAUUACUCUCAUGUAAUUGCUCUGAAAUUCUAGUCAGUUGUUUGAAAUGGCUCUUAGAACAGAAUACUUUGACAUUUUUAUGAUGUCAAAAACUAAGAACUUAGCCCUAAAUAUUCCAAAGAAUAGGUGCAGAAGAACCCAUUUCCUUAAACGGCAUUUGAGUAUUCUUCACAACUCAAACUUUCUCUCCCAUCCUGUGAUGGCCGAGAGUUUUUCCUCUGACGACGGCACUGACCUUACCCUAUCCAAAAUAUGAACAUCUGCAUGGUUUCCUGGUUCAAAUUGUUUUUAUCCAUUCUGUCGUGAGAAUCAAAUGGUUCAGACCAUGCAGCACCUCUCUGGGACUUCUCAAGUCCUUUCUAGAUCUGAAGACUAUUCUCUGAACCAAAGACAACUUCUGGGGGUGUACCAAAUCUCCCAUUAGAAAAUUAUUAAGAUCAAGAUGUUUUAACCUUUUAACUCUUUCUCAAACAAAAUAAAUUCGUUUCUCCUUUACUGUUAUUUUAAAUUUCAAAAUACACAGAUAGUAUAUCUAAAAUAAAAUCAAGAGAAUGACAGUUUUAGAACACAAACUGUGGUAAUUUUGAAAACACAAAAGCUAAGACCACUAAUUAGGUCUAUGUGGACACCAAGUCCACCACAACCUGUUCUGUCCUCCGGGGCUCUGCCCACGCCUUUCCCUUGCCUGAGAUUCCUUCUGCUUCCUACCCUUCCAAAUGCUGUAUUUCCCCCUGGAAGACUUGCCAAGACCACUCUAACCUGCACAUCUCCCAUUCCAGCUAACCAAAGGCAUCCUUGGGUUGACUAAACCAAAUUAUUUUGCAGACAAGGCAUCUAAACACUUCCACUGUAGACUAUUCACCUUAAUAAUUGUUAUUGUGACAUUAUUCAAUAAUAAAAUGAGGGAAAGAAGUCCUCUUCAAUCCCUUAUCCUGGAGAACCCAAGCAAGUGUCUUUCCCACUUGCUUUGCCCAAACCCUGGGACCUUUCUAAGUAAAAGUUUAAUGGAAGGGAAAGAAAAUCUAAAAGAAAAACUCUCCAAGAAAUUAAACUCGGGCAAAGAUUCAUGGGAUUAAAAAUUUUUAUUCUUUGUGUAUCUGAUUUCCGAAACAUAGAAAUCUCUCUCCCACUCCUUAAACCUGCCACUGGGCUAAGAGAGUAUUGUACAGAAUAUGCACUCACUGACUUAACAGAAUUAGAACAUCCAGGCACUCACUGAGAUUUUGCUUCCACAACCGCUCAAAGUCUAGUCAUUAGUUCAUGAGUUAACACCACACUUGACCUUCAAAUUUUGGAAAUGCUGACGGUAGACAGGGACUUGUUUUGGGAAAGGAAGUACACAGUAGACAUUGUUACCCAUGACCCAACCACCACCACCUUUCCUUUAAAGAACCCCACUCUUCCUUUAAGGUUGCAGAGUCUCAGAAAGUGGGAAGAAAGGAAGUUUUUGCAUUUUCAGGUCAAAACGAAGUACAUUUGUGCAACCACAUAAU